rnacentral:tRNA from 1 species
GUGGGUGUAAAUCAGUGGUAGACUGCUUGCCUAGCAUGCACAAAACCUUGGGUUCAAUCCCCAGCACUGAAA